UACGUAGGGUGCAAGCGUUGUCCGGAAUUAUUGGGCGUAAAGAGCUCGUAGGCGGCCUGUCGCGUCGGCUGUGAAAACCCCGAGGCUCAACCUCGGGCCUGCAGUCGAUACGGGCAGGCUAGAGUUCGGUAGGGGAGACUGGAAUUCCUGGUGUAGCGGUGAAAUGCGCAGAUAUCAGGAGGAACACCGGUGGCGAAGGCGGGUCUCUGGGCCGAAACUGACGCUGAGGAGCGAAAGCGUGGGGAGCGAACAGG
rnacentral:rRNA from 1 species